rnacentral:misc_RNA from 1 species
CAACCCUCAAGCAUUGCUUGGUAUUGGGCUCCGCUGCUCACCCAGCGGGUCUUAAAAUCAGUGGCGGUGCCGUCGAGGCCCUGAGCGUAGUAAAUAUCCUCGCUAUAGGGACUCGGUGGACGCUGGCCAUCAACCCCCAACUUUCUAA